rnacentral:rRNA from 1 species
GAUGAACGCUAGCUACAGGCUUAACACAUGCAAGUCGAGGGGAAACGGCAUCGAAAGCUUGCUUUUGAUGGGCGUCGACCGGCGCACGGGUGAGUAACGCGUAUCCAACCUGCCCAUCACUUGGGAAUAACCUUGCGAAAGUAAGACUAAUGCCCAAUGACAUCCCACGAAGGCAUCCGAAUGGGAUUAAAGAUUUAUCGGUGAUGGAUGGGGAUGCGUCUGAUUAGCUUGUUGGCGGGGUGACGGCCCACCAAGGCAACGAUCAGUAGGGGUUCUGAGAGGAAGGUCCACCACAUCGGAACUGAGACACGGUCCACACUCCUACGCGAGGCAGCAGUAAGGAAUAUUGGUCAAUGGGCGAGAGCCUGAACCAGCCAAGUAGCGUGCAGGAUGACGGCCCUAUGGGUUGUAAACUGCUUUUAAAAGGGAAUAAAGUGGGUAACGUGUGACUUUUUGCAUGUACCUUAUGAAUAAGGACCGGCUAAUUCCGUG